UACGUAGGGGGCUAGCGUUGUCCGGAUUUAUUGGGCGUAAAGAGCGUUGUAGGACGGCCAGGUAGGUCUGCUGUGAAAACUCGAGGCUCAACCUCGAAGACGGUCGGCCGGAAACCCAUCUGGCUAGAGUCCGGAAGAGGAGAGUGGAAUUCCUGGUGUAGCGGUGAAAUGCGCAGAUAUCAGGAAGAACACCCGUGGCGAAGGCGGCUCUCUGGGACGGUACUGACGCUGAGACGCGAAAGCGUGGGGAGCGAACAGG
rnacentral:rRNA from 1 species